UUUUUUUCUUUUCUUUUUGCAGCUAAUGCAAUAUUCUACAAGGUGCCUUUUGAAGAAGUUCCAGAACUUGUAGCUGGUCGCCGGGUGUUUAUACAUAAAGGGCAUGCCUAUGUUGCAAUGAAUCAGGUGGUUUCUCUUGUUGUCACACAAUUUUGAAGUUAUCUAUCAAAGGCACUCGUUUUAACAAACA